rnacentral:rRNA from 1 species
UACGGAGGGUGCGAGCGUUGUCCGGAAUCACUGGGCGUAAAGGGCGCGUAGGCGGCCUGAUAAGUAGGGGGUGAAAUCCUGCGGCUUAACCGCAGGGCUGCCUUCUAAACUGUCAGGCUAGAGCACAGUAGAGGCAGGUGGAAUUCCCGGUGUAGCGGUGGAAUGCGUAGAGAUCGGGAAGAACAUCAGUGGCGAAGGCGGCCUGCUGGGCUGUUGCUGACGCUGAGGC